CACCGCCCGUCACACCAUGGGAGUCGAUUGCUCCAGAAGUGGCUGAGCUAACCCGCAAGGGAGGCAGGUCCCCAAGGAGUGAUUGGUAACUGGGGUG
rnacentral:rRNA from 1 species